rnacentral:rRNA from 1 species
GAUGAACGCUGGCGGCGUGCUUAACACAUGCAAGUCGAACGGAAAGGCCACAGCUUGCUGUGGUACUCGAGUGGCGAACGGGUGAGUAACACGUGGGUGAUCUGCCCUGUACUUCGGGAUAAGCUUGGGAAACUGGGUCUAAUACCGGAUAGGAAUCACAUGUGGGUGUGUGGUUGGAAAGCUUUUGCGGUAUGGGAUGAGCUCGCGGCCUAUCAGCUUGUUGGUGGGGUAAUGGCCUACCAAGGCGUCGACGGGUAGCCGGCCUGAGAGGGUGUACGGCCACAUUGGGCUUGGGAAACGCCCCGGCCUCUACCGGGAGCAAGCGGUGGGGAAUUUUGCCCAAUGGGCGAAGGCCGGAUGCAGGGCCGCCGGGUGGGGAUGACGGCCUUCGGGUUGUAAACUCCUUUCGUCAGGGACGAAGCGAAAGUGACGGUACCUGGAUAAGAAGCACCGGCUAACUACGUG